UACGUAGGGGGGCAAGCGUUUGUCCGGAUUUAUUGGGCGUAAAGAGCGUGUAGGCGGCCACACAGGUCUGCUGUGAAAACUCGAGGCUCAACCUCGAGCUGUCGGUGGAAACCGUGUGGCUAGAGUCCGGAAGAGGAGAGUGGAAUUCCCGGUGUAGCGGUGAAAUGCGCAGAUAUCGGGAAGAACACCCGUGGCGAAGGCGGCUCUCUGGGACGGUACUGACGCUGAGACGCGAAAAGCGUGGGGGAGC
rnacentral:rRNA from 1 species